AGGACGAACGCUGGCGGCGUGCUUAACACAUGCAAGUGGAGCGACGAACCAGGGCUUGCCCUGGGGCAGAGCCGCGAACGGGUGAGUAACACGUGGGUUACCUGCCUCGAUGACCGGGACAACCCGAGGAAACUCGGGCUAAUACCGGAUGUGCCCGCAAGGGGAAAGGAAGCUUCGGCCUCCGCAUCGAGAUGGGCCCGCGGCCCAUUAGCUUGUUGGUGAGGUAACGGCUCACCAAGGCUUCGAUGGGUAGCUGGUCUGAGAGGACGAUCAGCCACACUGGGAUUGAGAACGGCCCAGACUCCUACGGGGGGCAGCAGUGAGGAAUUUUCGGCAAUGGGGGGCAACCCUGACCGAGCAACGCCGCGUGCAGGAUGACAGUCUUCGGAUUGUAAACUGCUUUUCUCGGGGACGAGUAAGGACGGUACCCGAGGAAGAAGCCCCGGCUAACUACGUGCCAGCAGCCGC
rnacentral:rRNA from 1 species